AGAACGAACGCUGGCGGCAUGCCUAAUACAUGCAAGUCGAACGAACUCUUCGGAGUUAGUGGCGCACGGGUGCGUAACGCGUGGGAAUCUGCCCCUUGGUUCGGAAUAACAGUUGGAAACGACUGCUAAUACCGGAUGAUGACGAAAGUCCAAAGAUUUAUCGCCAAGGGAUGAGCCCGCGUAGGAUUAGCUAGUUGUGAGUAAGCUCACAGCAACGAUCCUUAGCUGGUCUGAGAGGAUGAUCAGCCACACUGGGACUGAGACACGGCCCAGACUCCGUACGGAGGCAGCAGUAGGAAUAUGGACAAUGGGACGAAAGCCUAGAUCCAAGCAAAUGCCGCGUGAGUGAUGAAGGUCCUUAAGGUUAGUAAAAGCUUACCUUUUACCCGAGAGUGUAAUAAUGAACAGGUAUACCGGGUAAGAAGUAACGCCCCGGUACCUAACC
rnacentral:rRNA from 1 species